rnacentral:rRNA from 1 species
CUGGCGACCGGCAAACGGGUGCGGAACACGUACACAACCUUCCUUUAAGUGGGGAAUAGCCCGGGGAAACCCGGAUUAAUACCCCGUAAUAUAUUGAAAAGGCAUCUUUUUAAUAUUAUAGCUCCGGCGCUUAAUGAUGGGUGUGCGGCUGAUUAGGUAGUUGGCGGGGUAACGGCCCACCAAGCCUACGAUCAGUAACUGGUGUGAGAGCACGACCAGUCACACGGGCACUGAGACACGGGCCCG